AAGAAGAAGAAGAGAAGAAGAGAAGGAGAAAAAAAAACAUUGACAAAACAAGAAAAGAGAAAGGAAAAGUGCAAGUUUUCUGAAAGUCAAUGUAGAAAGAGUUGAGAGUAUCAUCAUCUUCUCAAUUCUUUUAGAAAUCAAGAGGUAAAAAAGAUUAGAUCAAGAGCUGGAUAAAUGAAGCAUAGCAGUUUAUGUUAUAGUUUGCUUAAAAUUUCUAGAAAAUUAUUUUGAGCCAUGGAAGUGUUAUGUACUCCAUAUUUUUGCUCUUUCUAUGAAGGAUUAAUAUGUGUAUUAAUACAUUUGCAUGACUUUGUUCGGGGUUUGUAUUAACCAUCUCUUUUGUCGAAUUAUGUUAAUGCUCAAGUUAUAUUAUAGAUAA